AAUAUACUCCCUCCGUUCGGAAUUACUUGUCUUGAAAAUGAAUGUAUUUAGAACUAAAAUAAAUCUAGAUACAUCCAUUUCUGCGACAAGUAAUUCCGAACGGAGGGAGUAUGUC
rnacentral:pre_miRNA from 1 species